AGUGAACGCUGGCGGUAGGCCUAACACAUGCAAGUCGAACGGCAGCACAGUAAGAGCUUGCUCUUACGGGUGGCGAGUGGCGGACGGGUGAGGAAUACAUCGGAAUCUACUUUUUCGUGGGGGAUAACGUAGGGAAACUUACGCUAAUACCGCAUACGACCUACCGGUGAAAGCAGGGGAUCUUCGGACCUUGCGCGUUUGAUUGAGCCGAUGUCGGAUUAGCUAGUUGGCGGGGUAAAGGCCCACCAAGGCGACGAUCCGUAGCUGGUCUGAGAGGAUGAUCGGCCACACUGGAACUGAGACACGGUCCAGACUCCUACGGGAGGCAGCAGUGGGGAAUAUUGGACAAUGGGCGCAAGCCUGAUCCAGCCAUACCGCGUGGGUGAAGAAGGCCUUCGGGUUGUAAAGCCCUUUUGUUGGGAAAGAAAAGCAGCAGGUUAAUACCCCGCUGUUCUGACGGUACCCAAAGAAUAAGCACCGGCUAACUUCGUG
rnacentral:rRNA from 1 species